UCGGGAGCUACUGGGACCGUGAUAAAGAUCUAACGGAUCGCGAUCGACGGGUCGGUGACCACUGCUUUACACUGACACUGGUCUGGGCUUUUGAUUGUGCUGACCUGAAACAGGAAUUAGAAUGCUAGACUCUGAGGACUCCAGUCUGGAUGAAGGAAAGGACGUCAUGAGGCACAAGACUAAGCGGUUCUACAUUCCCCGAAGUGUGACAACAUCAUGAAGAGUUUUCCAGAAGACCAGAUGACAAUCCGCACACUGUGGCUUGCAGAGACGUCCUGCGAGAGAGAAGAGAGACGAGCGAGGCUGGAUGAGGAGGGGAGAAGAGAGAAGGACAAUGAGGGGAAAAGAAGUUAUGGGCGGACAGGAGCCUGGAGCUCUCCUUUCCCUCUAACAUCUAUUUCCUUACCAUUCUGACAGUCUCUCAUCUCCUCUCUUCAUUUCAUCGUCUGGAGCUCGAUGGAAAGCCUCAGCUCGAAGCAGAGACGUCCUGCGAGAGAGAAGAGAGACGAGCGAGGCUGGAUGAGGAGGGGAGAAGAGAGAAGGACAAUGAGGGGAAAAGAAGUUAUGGGCGGACAGGAGCCUGGAGCUCUCCUUUCCCUCUAACAUCUAUUUCCUUACCAUUCUGACAGUCUCUCAUCUCCUCUCUUCAUUUCAUCGUCUGGAGCUCGAUGGAAAGCCUCAGCUCGAAG